AACCUUUACAAUGCACGCAAGUGUGAUAAGGGAACCCCAAGUGAUGAUGCUUUGCAUUGUCUUUUGCUGAGAGUAAAUAUCUCUACGAAUAAGUGGUGGGCAAUACCUGUGCCAGCCGCCGCGGUAACCCAGGAGCCACAAGUGGCAACCGUAUUUAUUGGGCCUAAAGCGUCCGUAGCCGGUCUUGUAAAUUUUCUGUGAAAUCGUUGUGCUUAACAUAACGGCGUGCAGAAAACACUACAAGACUUGGGACCGGGAGGAGUUAGAGGUAUUUCAGGGGGAGCGGUAAAAUGCUAUAAUCCUUGAAGGACCACCUGUGGCGAAGGCGUCUAACUAGAACGGCUCCGACGGUGAGGGACGAAAGCUAAGGGAGCAAUCCGG
rnacentral:rRNA from 1 species